rnacentral:rRNA from 1 species
GCUUAGCCAUAAACACAGAAGAUUAUAAACAAAAUUAUUCGCCAGAGUACUACCAGCAAGGGCUAGAAACUCAAAGGACUUGGCGGUGCCUUAAAUCCAUCUAGAGGAGCCUGUUCUAUAAUCGAUAAACCCCGAUAGACCUCACCAACCCUUGCCAAAUCAGCUUAUAUACCGCCAUCUUCAGCAAACCCUAAAAAGGAAAAACAGUAAGCAUAAACAUUAACAUAAAAACGUUAGGUCAAGGUGUAGCCUAUGGGUUGGAAAGAAAUGGGCUACAUUCCUCGGACCGAGGUAAUAUUUUACGAAAACCUAUGUGAAAUCAACAGUCAAAGGAGGAUUUAGCAGUAAAUUAAGAAUAGAGUGCUUAAUUGAAUAAGGCCAUGAGGCACGC